rnacentral:lncRNA from 1 species
ACAUUGCUCCUUUCUGGAAACAAGCCUUGGCUUCCGAUUGCCCGAGGGCUCAAGGAGUGUGUGCAUCCCAGCUCCGGCAAGACGCUGAGAUAGACCUGCCAGGGUCCGGGGCCGACGCAGGAGAGCAGUGAAGGCUCGCGCCGCCGCAGGAGCUGUUCCUGGCUCCUCGCCGCCCCCGCCUCCCAGCAGGGAGGUUAUGGCUGCAGCAACUCGGCUGCAGGGCCAAGCUGCACACAUUGCUGCCCACUCCUUCCACUCUUUCCCCUCCCUCUUCCCUCCUGCUGCUUGGGACAAAAAACUGAAGUGAUCUUUAAGGGAUCUGGAGGCAGUCUUGGACUGUUGGAGUCAGACCUUCCCAAAUCGAGGAACCAAAGCGUGUUCUAGAAGGAUGGACACAGGCCAGUCCCCAGCCAGAAGGGGAGGAGUCUUCUGUCUCUUGUUCACUCAAGCGUGCUCAGCAUCUGACUGCUGCAGACACACGGGUCUCAUCAGGCUGCAUAGGUUGAAGUGCAGAGAUGUGAUUAUAUCUCACUGGAACCUGGUCUAAAGCAAUCCUCCUGCCUCAGCCUGCUGAGCGGCUAGGACUACAGAUGUCCACGUCCAUACCCAGCUAAUGUUUUUAAACUUUUUGUAGAGGCCGAGUUCUACUAUUUUGCCCAGUCUAGUCCUGAAUUCCUGGCCUCAAGUGAUCGUCC